rnacentral:rRNA from 1 species
GCAAGUCGAGCGGAAACGCUGUUAGCUUACUCCCAGGCGUCGAGCGGCGGACGGGUGAGUAACGCGUAGGAAUCUACCCAGUAGUGGGGGAUAGCCCGGGGAAACUCGGAUUAAUACCGCAUACGCCCUACGGGGGAAAGGCCGGGACCUUCGGACCGGUCGCUAUUGGAUGAGCCUGCGUUGGAUUAGCUAGUUGGUAGGGUAAAGGCCUACCAAGGCGACGAUCCAUAGCUGGUCUGAGAGGAUGAUC